AGCAGUGUGGCUCAGUGGAAAGAGCACGGGCUUGGGAGUCAGAGGUCUGGGUUCUAAUCCCGGCUCUGCCA
rnacentral:tRNA from 1 species